rnacentral:rRNA from 1 species
UACCAGCUCUCCGAGUGGUGUGGAUGUUUAUUGGGCCUAAAGCAUCCGUAGCUGGCUGGGCAAGUCCCCUGUUAAAUCCACCGAUUCAAUCGUUGGAGUGCGGGGGAUACUGCUCGGGCUAGGGGACGGGAGAGGCCGACGGUAUUUUCGGGGUAGGGGUGAAAUCCUAUAAUCCCGGAAAGACCACCAGUGGCGAAGGCUGUCGGCUAGAACGCGCCCGACGGUGAGGGAUGAAAGCUGGGGGGAGCGAACCGGAUUAGAUACCCGGGUAGUCCCAGCUGUAAACGAUGCAGGCUAGGUGUUUGGGCGGCCACGUGUCGCUCUAGUGCCGCAGGGAAGUCGUUAAGCCUGCCGCCUGGGGAGUACGGCCGCAAGGCUGAAACUUAAAGGAAUUGGCGGGGGAGCACCACAAGGGGGUGAAGCUUGCGGUUU